GUUCUCAAAACUUAUGUGGCUACCAAUAAGAAAAGAAUUAGGGAAGCUUUGAACAUAUCUUGUACUUUUCAUCAAGGCUAAAGUGCAAAAUAUCUCCAUAUUUCUGAUAUUUUAAUAGGGUAAAAAAAUCAAACACAUAAUAAAGCAACUAAAGUGACAGUAGGAACUAAUACAAAAAGCUUAAAUAAACAAUUGAGGACUACGUAUUACUAUCAAUUUAAUUUUUCUUUCUUCAGUGAAAUAUGUCAAUGACCCAUGUGCUCAUAGAACUUAAGGUUUUGAUUCUCUUCCCCAAGACCAGAACAUGUAAACUUACAGGGAGGAAAAAAGGAAAAAAAAAAUAACAUUGCAUGACAAUGGACACCAAGUUCAUAAAGAACCUCUUUUAAAAAUGAGAUAUUAUGGAAGAAAAUACCAUGAAAAUAAUAAUCCUAUGAGAAUUGUUUUUAAGCACAGUAAGUUUGAGCCUCAGUCUUCAUGAAGAUACUACAGUUUAUAUAGAAAACUAUAAAUAUACAAGACUCCAAGGAAAAAAAGUCAGAAUACAUAUUAACAAUCUGUAGGCCUAAAAAACUUUUGAGGGGAGACGGAAAGGGACGGCCAACUGAAUCUUCACUUAAGAAUACAGGACUAUGAAAAAUUCCCAGGUCAAAGGUGCUCCCAAUGGAACCAAACUUUGUGAUAGCACAAAACUUAGAUAUAUUCUUCAAAGCAAAGCAAAAGUACUGAAUAACUAUAGUCCCUUCCAAAAAGUAAAUCUUAAAUUAAAGGGAAAUGAUUCUAAAAGUAUAAACGAGUCUGGCUCAGAAAGAAAAAUUGAACAACAUAUCCAAGAUCUGUCCAUAAAAGUAAUGAUAGUACAUCUUUAAUAUUAAAGAAACAGGCUAUAAAAAAGUUCAGUCUCAGAAUUGGAUUUAAAAGCUCAUUUGUGCUCCUUGGUGGGUGCGUAAUAAAGUUCCAUGGGUUUAUUCACUUUCCAGUACUUCUCACUGACCAAUUCCAAAGAAAAAGAGCCAUUUAAUACAGUGAACUGGCCACUUGCUACAUCCCAG
rnacentral:lncRNA from 1 species